rnacentral:rRNA from 1 species
UACGUAGGUGGCAAGCGAUACUCGGAAUCACUAGGCGUAAAGCGCAGGUAGGAGGUUGGAUAAGUCUCUCGUGAAAGCUCCCGGCUUAACUGGGAGAGGUCAAGGGAAACUGUUCAGCUAGAGUGUGGUAGAGGAAGAUGGAAUUCCCGGUGUAGCGGUGAAAUGCGUAGAUAUCGGGAGGAAUACCUAUGGCGAAAGCAGUCUUCUGGACCAUCACUGACUCUGAUCUGCGAAAGCUAGGGGAGCAAACAGG